UACGUAGGGUGCGAGCGUUGUCCGGAAUUAUUGGGCGUAAAGAGCUUGUAGGCGGUUUGUCGCGUCUGCUGUGAAAUCUCAAGGCUCAACCUUGAGCUUGCAGUGGGUACGGGCAGACUAGAGUGUGGUAGGGGAGACUGGAAUUCCUGGUGUAGCGGUGAAAUGCGCAGAUAUCAGGAGGAACACCGAUGGCGAAGGCAGGUCUCUGGGCCACUACUGACGCUGAGAAGCCGAAAGCAUGGGGAGCGAACAGG
rnacentral:rRNA from 1 species